UACGUAGGUGACAAGCGUUGUCCGGAUUUACUGGGCGUAAAGAGCGCGCAGGCGGUCGAUCAAGUCGAGUGUGAAAGCCCCCGGCUCAACUGGGGAGGGUCAUUCGAUACUGAUCGACUCGAAGGCAGGAGAGGGUAGUGGAAUUCCCGGUGUAGUGGUGAAAUGCGUAGAUAUCGGGAGGAACACCAGUGGCGAAGGCGCUCUACUGGGCCACAACUGACGCUGAGGGACGAAAGCUAGGGGAGCGAAAGGG
rnacentral:rRNA from 1 species